GAUGAACGCUGGCGGCGUGCCUAAUACAUGCGAGUCGAGCGAACAGACGAGGAGCUUGCUCCUCUGACGUUAGCGGCGGACGGGUGAGUAACACGUGGAUAACCUACCUAUAAGACUGGGAUAACUUCGGGAAACCGGAGCUAAUACCGGAUCAUAUAUUGAACCGCAUGGUUCAAUAGUGAAAGACGGUUUUGCUGUCACUUAUAGAUGGAUCCGCGCCGCAUUAGCUAGUUGGUAAGGUAACGGCUUACCAAGGCGACGAUGCGUAGCCGACCUGAGAGGGUGAUCGGCCACACUGGAACUGAGACACGGUCCAGACUCCUACGGGAGGCAGCAGUAGGGAAUCUUCCGCAAUGGGCGAAAGCCUGACGGAGCAACGCCGCGUGAGUGAUGAAGGUCUUCGGAUCGUAAAACUCUGUUAUUAGGGAAGAACAAAUGUGUAAGUAAAUAUGCACGUCUUGACGGUACCUAAUCAGAAAGCCACGGCUAACUACGUG
rnacentral:rRNA from 1 species